rnacentral:rRNA from 1 species
CCUACGGGAGGCAGCAGUGAGGAAUAUUGGUCAAUGGGAGAGAUCCUGAACCAGCCAUGCCGCGUGAAGGACGACGGCUCUAUGGGUUGUAAACUUCUUUUGUCGCGGGAUAAAAUCCUGUACGUGUCGGGGACUGCGAGUAUCCGAAGAAUAAGCAUCGGCUAACUCCGUGCCAGCAGCCGCGGUAAUACGGAGGAUGCGAGCGUUAUCCGGAUUUAUUGGGUUUAAAGGGUGCGUAGGCGGUCCGUUAAGUCAGCGGUAAAAUUGCGGGGCUCAACCCCGUCGAGCCGGUGAAACUGGCAGACUUGAGUUGGCGAGAAGUACGCGGAAUGCGCGGUGUAGCGGUGAAAUGCAUAGAUAUUGCGCAGAACUCCGAUUGUGAAGGCAGCAUGCCGGCUCCACACUGACGCUGAGGCACGAAAGCGUGGGUAUCGAACAGGAUUAGAUACCCGUGUAGUC